rnacentral:rRNA from 1 species
GUAGGGAAUCUUCCGCAAUGGGCGAAAGCCUGACGGAGCGACGCCGCGUGAGCGAAGAAGGCCUUCGGGUCGUAAAGCUCUGUUGUGAGGGGCGAAGGAGCGCCGUUCGAAGAGGGCGGCGCGGUGACGGUACCUCACGAGAAAGCCCCGGCUAACUACGUGCCAGCAGCCGCGGUAAUACGUAGGGGGCGAGCGUUGUCCGGAAUUAUUGGGCGUAAAGCGCGCGCAGGCGGUCUCUUAAGUCUGAUGUGAAAGCCCACGGCUCAACCGUGGAGGGUCAUUGGAAACUGGGGGACUUGAGGGCAGGAGAGGAGAGCGGAAUUCCACGUGUAGCGGUGAAAUGCGUAGAGAUGUGGAGGAACACCAGUGGCGAAGGCGGCUCUCUGGCCUGCACCUGACGCUGAGGCGCGAAAGCGUGGGGAGCAAACAGGAUUAGAAACCCUAGUAGUCC